rnacentral:rRNA from 14 species
UUCAACAACGGAUCUCUUGGUUCUGGCAUCGAUGAAGAACGCAGCGAAAUGCGAUAAGUAAUGUGAAUUGCAGAAUUCAGUGAAUCAUCGAAUCUUUGAACGCACAUUGCGCCCAUUAGCAUUCUAGUGGGCAUGCCUGUUCGAGCGUC